rnacentral:lncRNA from 1 species
CUCAUAUUCUCUACCUCAGGGCUCCGCCCCGUGAGAGCAGGAACCAAGGCUGAAUUUGUCUUUGUUGCUGCAGCACAGAAAUAAUUGAUGGAAAGUGCUUAGCACAGUGUCUGGCUCCCAGUGAAGAUGCCCUUGGCUGCUACAGCUUUGUGGAAACUUUACCCUAAAUAACUGCAACCACACAGAAUGUGUUGUGCUUUUUUGCAGAGACAGAGUCUCGCUCUGUCACCCAGGCUGGAACACAGUGGCACAAUCUCAGCUCACUGCAGCCUCGACCUCCCAGGCUCAAGUGAUAACUUUCUACCUCAACCUCCCAAGUAGCUAGGACCACAGGUGCUAGGACUACAGGCAGGUGCCACCACAUCUGGCUAGUUUUUAAUUAAAAAAAAAAUUAUAUAAAUGGGUCUCACUGUGUUUCCCAGGCUGGUCUCCAACUCCUAAGCUCAAACAGUUCUCCCACCUCAGCCUCUCAAAGGGCUGGGACACAGCACUUUGGGAGGCUGAGGCGGGCAGAUCACAAGGUCAAGAGAUCGAGACCAUCCUGGCCAAAAUGGUGAAACCCGUCUCUACUAAAAAUACAAAAAUUAGCUGGGCGUGGUGGUGCGUGCCUGUAGUCCCAGCUACUCGGGAGGCUGAGGCAGGAGAAUUGCUUGAACCUGGGAGGCGGAGGUUGCAGUGAGAGGAGAUUGCACCACUGCACUCCAGCCUGGUGCCUGGCAAUGGAAUGAGACUGUCUCAAAAAAAAAAAAGUGCUGGGAUUACAGGUGUGAGCCACCAUGCCCAGCCAGAAUGUAUUAUCUCACCCAAGAAGAGGGCUUCAGGCAGGGCGCGCCAGGUUUGGAUAAUUCAGAGCUCAACAGCUUCCAGGUUCUUCCUACUCUGCCAUCCUCAGAAUAUAAGCUGCCUUCUCAGGUGGAUCUCCUCAUGGUGAAAGAAUGGCUGCCACAGACUCAGACCUCAAGCCCACAGCGAGACACGACAACAUCUGUAGCUGUCUCAGAGAGUCACGAGGGCCAAAGGAGAUAUCCAGGCACAUGCUCAGCACAGCAUCCGAGAGCAGAAAGGGCUGAUAAAUGGAAGCGCCUGGCUCUUGGAGAGAGGCCGCCACUUGGUGAAGUAGAAGUACGUAGGAUAAAGGGGACUGAACUCUACCCGCAACUCUAGCACUGCCUGUGAGUCCCGUGUGAAGGCUGUGAGCCACAUCACCCAAAUUAAAAAGAGUGAAAUAGAAUUAAUCACAAGAAUAUGGAAAACUCCAGAACAGAUUUUUCUCUGGCGCCUGGAGCCUAACAUUCAAUAGCCUACUGAGCCGCUCAGUUAGACCCCUCCUGGGGUCCAUCAAGUCAAGAAACCCAAAUGGACCCUCUUCCACACAAACCCCACCCACGCCUCCUGCAUUUCCUGGCUCAAGAGUAGCACUGGUCCCCAGAAAGCUAGAAACCAUAAUCUUUAACCCUAUUAUGUAGUUGGAGUUAUUAUUGCCGUUUUACAGACAGGGAGACUGAAGCCCAGACAUAUUAUCAACCUUGCAAGUUAGUGGUAGAAUCAGACUCUACCCCACAGACCCUGCUGCCUUCAUCAACCCACAAAGCCACUUGACUUACCUCCUCAAAUCUGUGCACUUUUCUCCAACCCCAUGGCCAACACACGACACUGGCCCCCACCACAGUCCCCUUACCGGCACUCUUGGUGGCUCAGUUCUACAGCGUGACAAAGGCAGUCACUCCUGAAAGCUCAACCUCGAGUCUGUUUCUUCAGCCUUCACAGUGAUUUUGCAAGCCAUUCAACCCCACCACAAGCCCUCUCCUGUUUAGAACACUAGAGCAUUUCUCUUCUCAGUUGAAUCUUAACUGAUACCACUAGCUCAGAGCUAGGUGCACUGAGUUCUGAAUAAAUACUUAGGUCCAUGGAAAAGCACAAGUUUGGUGCCCAUUUUCCAGGUGCUCUCUUACGUGCUCAGGGUCAUGCACAGGGUC